GAGUAAUGUCUGGGAAACUGCCUGAUGGAGGGGGAUAACUACUGGAAACGGUGGCUAAUACCGCAUAACGUCGCAAGACCAAAGAGGGGGACCUUCGGGCCUCUUGCCAUCAGAUGUGCCCAGAUGGGAUUAGCUUGUUGGUGAGGUAACGGCUCACCAAGGCGACGAUCCCUAGCUGGUCUGAGAGGAUGACCAGCCACACUGGAACUGAGACACGGUCCAGACUCCUACGGGAGGCAGCAGUGGGGAAUAUUGCACAAUGGGCGCAAGCCUGAUGCAGCCAUGCCGCGUGUAUGAAGAAGGCCUUCGGGUUGUAAAGUACUUUCAGCGGGGAGGAAGGUGUUGUGGUUAAUAACCGCAGCAAUUGACGUUACCCGCAGAAGAAGCACCGGCUAACUCCGUGCCAGCAGCCGCGGUAAUACGGAGGGUGCAAGCGUUAAUCGGAAUUACUGGGCGUAAAGCGCACGCAGGCGGUCUGUCAAGUCGGAUGUGAAAUCCCCGGGCUCAACCUGGGAACUGCAUUCGAAACUGGCAGGCUUGAGUCUUGUAGAGGGGGGUAGAAUUCCAGGUGUAGCGGUGAAAUGCGUAGAGAUCUGGAGGAAUACCGGUGGCGAAGGCGGCCCCCUGGACAAAGACUGACGCUCAGGUGCGAAAGCGUGGGGAGCAAACAGGAUUAGAUACCCUGGUAGUCCACGCCGUAAACGAUGUCUACUUGGAGGUUGUGCCCUUGAGGCGUGGCUUCCGGAGCUAACGCGUUAAGUAGACCGCCUGGGGAGUACGGCCGCAAGGUUAAAACUCAAAUGAAUUGACGGGGGCCCGCACAAGCGGUGGAGCAUGUGGUUUAAUUCGAUGCAACGCGAAGAACCUUACCUGGUCUUGACAUCCACGGAAGUUUUCAGAGAUGAGAAUGUGCCUUCGGGAACCGUGAGACAGGUGCUGCAUGGCUGUCGUCAGCUCGUGUUG
rnacentral:rRNA from 1 species